AACGAACGCUGGCGGCGCGCCUAAUACAUGCAAGUCGAGCGAGAAGGUGUAGCAAUACACUUGUAAAGCGGCGAACGGGUGAGGAAUACAUGGGUAAUCUACCAUCGAGUGGGGAAUAACCAACCGAAAGGUUGGCUAAUACCGCGUACGCCUCCGAAUCUUCGGGUUCGGAGGGAAAGCUGCACUGUGAGUGUAGCGCUCUUUGAUGAGCUCAUGUCCUAUCAGCUUGUUGGUAGGGUAACGGCCUACCAAGGCUUUGACGGGUAGCUGGUCUGAGAGGACGAUCAGCCACACUGGCACUGCGACACGGGCCAGACUCCUACGGGAGGCAGCAGUAAGGAAUAUUGCGCAAUGGGCGAAAGCCUGACGCAGCGACGCCGCGUGGGGAUGAAGGUCUUCGGAUUGUAAACCCCUUUCGGGAGGGAAGAUGGAGCGAGCAAUCGUUCGGACGGUACCUCCAGAAGCAGCCACGGCCAACUUCGUGCCAGCAG
rnacentral:rRNA from 1 species